CCUGAAUAAAAAAAGAGUUAAAUGAAUGACUUCAUACAGCCGGAGCAGACAUUAUUCCAGUCCUGCGAUAUCUUGACAUUUUCAACUCUUUGAUAAACUUUCCCUACACCCUACAUUUUAAAAAAUAAACAAACAUUUGUACACAUGAGCCAGCGCGUGCAAAACAAGACCCACACCCUAGCCUGAUAGCAGCAUUACCUGUCAAUCAUCGGUAUUCUUUACUAUUAUUGGAAGGUCAUGACCCAGCAGCCAAUCCAAUUAUCAUCCCAGGUAAAGGGGCGGGGUUUAACCGUAGCACGCGGAGAAGUGUAGGAGAGCUAUCAUCGCAGUGUUGUCGGCUGAGGACCGAGUGAUGCUGUGUGGUUUGGACUACUGUGAUUCUACUAGAGAUGCUGUAUGAGGACCAGGAAGGCUCCUUUUGACCACACAGAGAGCAGACUGACCGUUGCUUCUGCUCAGUUCUUUUCCUCCCUGACACCUUGAUUCCUGCCAGAGUUGGCGUCAAUACUAUCAAUAUUUGGAUUGAUCAGCACAUUCCUGCCUAGAUGUACUUUGAUCAAGACCCACCAGCUCCUCCGUCUUUGAAGCCACUGAAUUGAAGCUUGUAGCCGUCUUGCUCCGGACCCACAGAGAAGGAGGAAUAAUGAACGUGGGCUUUGUUGCCGUCAAAGUCCUCCAUGUCUAUCCUCAGUUCAUAGCUCUUCCUCAGACUAAGGACAUGGAUAUUCUCCAGCCCUGGAGGGACAGUCAAAGACCAAGAGAUAGACUUGGGUCAUUUCUCAAGAGCUGUGAUGAAACUCAACAAAUUGUGAAGCAAUAAUUCCAGUCUCAACUCUUACCCAGCCAGUAUUCUCCUGAUGCUUGUCCAAAUCCAGUUCUGUACUGGUCCCAUCCA